GUCUUUGUAACUGUUAACUUAUUGCGAUUAUGACUAUAAACAUAAUUAUAUGGUAUUGUGAUCUUGGCUUGUUAUUGUGAUCGUGAGCUAUUAAAUGCAUCACUUGAUAUUUGAAGCAUUUUCUUAAGUUUCUUAUUUUUUAAAGUGUAUCUUGGAACCUUCGUAAUUAUAUGUAUUUUUCCCUUUAUUGUAGGUUGAAAUUUUUAAACCCGAUUCUAAUAUUUGAAACAAGGAAGUGAAUCACAAAUAUAUUUACGAAGUUUACUUUAUACUUAUUUUUAAUUUUUUUUAUUCUCAAAAUAUUUUUUUUAUGGGUUAAUUUCACAAACGGUCACUGAACUUACUUGAAAAUUACAAAACGGUCACUGAAGUUUAAAAUUUGCAGAAACAGCCACUAAAGUUUAGAGCGCUUUUGGAAACAGUCACUAAAGCUUACAAACUCUCAGAAACGGUCACCCAAAUUUUUCAAAUUUUUUGUUAGGUUCGCGGCAAUUUUUCGGCAACCUCCAACCACCAAGACUGCCGAAUUCGAAUACUAUUGGAAGCCCACAUGUCAUCUUCAAUUACUACCCCAAAUCUCUCCAUAACUUCAAAGGAUUCCGUCGAAAUAAGCCCACAAAGUCAGCUCCCAGAAAUCGAAAAAUCAUCCCAGAUUUUUCUUAUUUUUGGGUGAGAUUUGAACUCAUUUUCAGGAAACUUUCGACCACCAAGACCAUGGAAUUUGUAUACAGUUAGAAAGCCCACAAUGUCCUCUUCAAUUACCACCCAAAAUCUCCUCUAAAGGAUUCGUCUGGAAUAAACCCACAAAGUCAGCUCCUAGAAAUUUGAAAAAUUGAAGAAGAUAUUGUAGACUUUCCAAUGGUAUUAAAAUCCGAUGGUCUUGGUGAUCGGAAGUUGUCAAAAAAUUGCCGCAAAUCUGAAAAAUGUGGGUUGAUUUUUCGAUUUCGGGGAGCUGACUUGUGGGUUUAUUCUGGCCGAAUCCUUUGGAGUUAUGGAGAGAUUUUGAGUGGUAAUUGAAGAGGACAUUGUAAGCUUUCCAGUGGUAUUCAAAUUCGGGGGUCUUGGUGGUUGGAGGUUGCCUGAAAAUUUUCGUAAAUCUCAUUCAAAAAUUUGAGAAAUCUGAGCAAAUAUUUCAGAUUUCGGGAAGCUGAUUUUGCAGGCUUAUUCUGGUUAAAUCUUUUGGAAUUAUGUGGAGAUUUUGGAUGGUAAUUGAAGAUAAUAUUGUAGGCUUUUCAACGGUAUCAAAUUCGGCAGUUUCCGUGGUCGGAAGUUGCCAAAAAAUUAUCGCAAAACUCACCCAAAAAUCUGAAAAAUCUGGACAAAUUUUCAAAUUUCGGGGAGCUAAAUUUGUGGACUUAUUCUGACCGAAUCCUUUGGAGUUAUGUGAAGAUGUUGUGUGCUAAUUGAAUAGUACAUUGUGGAGUUUCCAACGGUAUCCAAAUCAGAUAGUUUUGGUGGUUGGAAGUUGCUGAAAAAUUGUUACAAACCUCGUCUAAGAAUUUGAAAAUUUUGGGUAACCAUUUCUAUAAGUUUGUAAAUUUCAGUGACCGUUUUUUAAAGUGCUCUAAACUUUAAUGAUCGUUUUGUAUUUUUCAGGUAAGUUCAGUGACCCUUUUUGAAAUUAAACCUUUUUUUAAUUAUUUUUUUAAUUUCUUCUUAUGAAUUUUGUAAAAAUGUAAUACAAUUUAUAAAAUUAUAUUAUACAAAUUUCACCAUUCGAUUCCACAAUAUGCCAUUGCCAUCACUUGUAAAAUAGUAUGUUAAGACAUUUUGUUGUCUAUUUUCACAAUUACUAUAGCAAUCGAUACCAUUAUGAUUGAUAAGAUUCAAUUUUAUCCCACUAUCGCAACCACCACCACAAUUGCCCUCCAUCAUCAUCAUUACUUCCACCAUCGACAAUAAUUCCUAAACUUUAGUACAACUCCGUAGAAGCCAUGCUAAAAAUACUAGCAGUAUGCCAUCCAUUCCUUUUUUAGUUAGUAGGCAUCUCAAUUUAUUCACUCCAAGAUUUUGGCGACAUUUGAUGAUGGUGCCAAUGAAGGUGAUGGUGGUGCUUUGUGAUGGGUAGCGAUGAUGGUGUUUGAUAGUGCAUGGUGGUUAGGUGGUAAAUUGCCAUUAUUCGUGUAUUUGUACGUGAAUAAAUGUGUAUUUGUAUAUGUUAGAUUGUGUUUGUAUGUUAAAUUAUGUGUUUUUGAGUUUGUGGAGAAUGAAAACCAGUAUUUACCAUGUAGAGAAUUAGAAAGGACUGAAAGUAAGCUUGAAAUUUCAAAAAAUAAAAUAAAAUAAGAGGGGGCUUAGCUUAAUUUCAACUAAAAACAAAUAGGAAAAAAAUAUAAAACUACUAGAUUAUAAGAAUUCUAUAUCAUAAUAACAAUCUUAAAAAGCCCCCGUUAGGUGGGGGUUAAAAUUCGAUUUCUAGUAAAUUUUGAUAAAAGUUGAUAAAAUGUAUGAUUGAAGAGUUGUAGGAUUCAUAAAAAUGUAGUUAAAAUUGAUUAUUGACUUUGACAUGUGUUAAAAUUUAAAAUUUAAUCAUUACCAAACAUAGGCAAAAUAGCAAUGUUAUAAUAAUCGGGUUGGACUGGUUGAUUCAAUCGAAAAAAUUGCGAAUUGAUCUCUAAUCCAAUCCUGUAUUCGUACAUUUAGGUUUUCUUUCAGUGCUGAAUCUUUUUCCACAAAAGUUUUUAAUGAAAAGUCCUACUUACUUUUCAAGAUAAAUAUUCUAAAAUCAUAGUGAAGGUUUCAUUGUUCAAAAAUUAGAUAUUUUAAAUCUUAAAUAUUAUAAUAUAAAUUUUAUCCAGCCCUCUCCAUCUCGCCUGCUUGUCC
rnacentral:lncRNA from 1 species